AUGUGGGUGGCUCAAUUGGUUGAGCAUCUGACUUCAGUUCAGGUCAUGAGCUCAUGGUUCCUGGCUUCAAGCCCCACAUU
rnacentral:tRNA from 1 species